rfam:Schistosoma mansoni, Puerto Rico, WGS project CABG01000000 data, contig: 0049
AUCCAGCUGACAAGUCGCAAAUAGGACGAUACGCGCAUCCUGGAU